UACGGGGGGGGCAAGCGUUGUUCGGAAUUACUGGGCGUAAAGGGCUCGUAGGCGGCCAACUAAGUCAGACGUGAAAUCCCUCGGCUUAACCGGGGAACUGCGUCUGAUACUGGAUGGCUAGAGUUUGGGAGAGGGAUGCGGAAUUCCAGGUGUAGCGGUGAAAUGCGUAGAUAUCAGGAGGAACACCGGUGGCGAAGGCGGGUCUCUGGGCAGUAACUGACGCUGAGGAGCGAAAGCGUGGGGAGCGAACAGG
rnacentral:rRNA from 1 species